rnacentral:rRNA from 1 species
GGCGGCAUGCCUUACACAUGCAAGUCGAACGGUAACAGGUUAAGCUGACGAGUGGCGAACGGGUGAGUAAUAUAUCGGAACGUGCCCAGUAGUGGGGGAUAGCCCGGCGAAAGCCGGAUUAAUACCGCAUACGACCUACGGGUGAAAGGGGGGGAUCGCAAGACCUCUCGCUAUUGGAGCGGCCGAUAUCAGAUUAGCUAGUUGGUGGGGUAAAAGCCCACCAAGGCGACGAUCUGUAGCUGGUCUGAGAGGACGACCAGCCACACUGGGACUGAGACACGGCCCAGACUCCUACGGGAGGCAGCAGUGGGGAAUUUUGGACAAUGGACGAAAGUCUGAUCCAGCCAUGCCGCGUGCGGGAAGAAGGCCUUCGGGUUGUAAACCGCCUUUGUCAGGGAAGAAAUCCUUUGAGUUAAUACCUCGGGGGGAUGACGGUACCUGAAGAAUAAGCACCGGCUAACUACGUGCCAGCAGCCGCGGUAAUACGUAGGGUGCAAGCGUU